rnacentral:rRNA from 1 species
UACGUAGGGUGCGAGCGUUGUCCGGAAUUAUUGGGCGUAAAGAGCUCGUAGGCGGCUUGUCGCGUCGGAUGUGAAAGCCCGGGGCUUAACUCCGGGUCUGCAUUCGAUACGGGCAGGCUAGAGUUCGGUAGGGGAGAUCGGAAUUCCUGGUGUAGCGGUGAAAUGCGUAGAUAUCUGGAGGAACACCGGUGGCGAAGGCGGCAUCCUGGACCGGUAUUGACGCUGAGGCGCGAAAGCCAGGGGAGCAAACGGG